AGAGUUUGAUCCUGGCUCAGAUUGAACGCUGGCGGCAGGCCUAACACAUGCAAGUCGAGCGGCAGCGGGAAGUAGCUUGCUACUUUGCCGGCGAGCGGCGGACGGGUGAGUAAUGUCUGGGAAACUGCCUGAUGGAGGGGGAUAACUACUGGAAACGGUAGCUAAUACCGCAUGACCUCGCAAGAGCAAAGUGGGGGACCUUCGGGCCUCACGCCAUCGGAUGUGCCCAGAUGGGAUUAGCUAGUAGGUGGGGUAAUGGCUCACCUAGGCGACGAUCCCUAGCUGGUCUGAGAGGAUGACCAGCCACACUGGAACUGAGACACGGUCCAGACUCCUACGGGAGGCAGCAGUGGGGAAUAUUGCACAAUGGGCGCAAGCCUGAUGCAGCCAUGCCGCGUGUGUGAAGAAGGCCUUCGGGUUGUAAAGCACUUUCAGCGAGGAGGAAGGGUAUCGUGUUAAUAGCACGGUACAUUGACGUUACUCGCAGAAGAAGCACCGGCUAACUCCGUGCCAGCAGCCGCGGUAAU
rnacentral:rRNA from 1 species